rnacentral:rRNA from 1 species
CCUACGGGAGGCAGCAGUGAGGAAUAUUGGUCAAUGGACGAGAGUCUGAACCAGCCAAGUAGCGUGAAGGAUGACUGCCCUAUGGGUUGUAAACUUCUUUUAUAUGGGAAUAAAAUGUUCCACGUGUGGGAUUUUGUAUGUACCAUAUGAAUAAGGAUCGGCUAACUCCGUGCCAGCAGCCGCGGUAAUACGGAGGAUCCGAGCGUUAUCCGGAUUUAUUGGGUUUAAAGGGAGCGUAGGUGGAUUGUUAAGUCAGUUGUGAAAGUUUGCGGCUCAACCGUAAAAUUGCAGUUGAAACUGGCAGUCUUGAGUACAGUAGAGGUGUGCGGAAUUCGUGGUGUAGCGGUGAAAUGCUUAGAUAUCACGAAGAACUCCGAUUGCGAAGGCAGUUCACUGGACUGCAACUGACACUGAGGCUCGAAAGUGUGGGUAUCAAACAGGAUUAGAGACCCCUGUAGUC